rnacentral:tRNA from 1 species
GCGCCGGUGGCGUAAGGCGUAGCAUCGCUGCUUCGGAAAGCAGAAGGUGCGGGCUCAAGUCCCGCCUGGCGCA